rnacentral:rRNA from 1 species
UGGGGAAUAUUGGACAAUGGGCGAAAGCCUGAUCCAGCAAUGCCGCGUGAGUGAUGAAGGCCCUAGGGUUGUAAAGCUCUUUUACCCGGGAUGAUAAUGACAGUACCGGGAGAAUAAGCCCCGGCUAACUCCGUGCCAGCAGCCGCGGUAAUACGGAGGGGUCUAGCGUUGUUCGGAAUUACUGGGCGUAAAGCGCACGUAGGCGGCUUUGUAAGUCAGAGGUGAAAGCCCGGAGCUUAACUCCGGAAUUGCCUUUGAGACUGCAUCGCUUGAAUCCGGGAGAGGUGAGUGGAAUUCCGAGUGUAGAGGUGAAAUUCGUAGAUAUUCGGAAGAACACCAGUGGCGAAGGCGGCUCACUGGACCGGUAUUGACGCUGAGGUGCGAAAGCGUGGGGAGCAAACA